UACAUUUUAUUUUGUUUUUUAAAUUUAAUUUAUAUUUUACUUUAUUUUGAGACAGAGUCUCGCUCUGUUGCCCAGGCUGGAAUACAGUGGUGCCAUCUCGGCUCACUGCAACCUCCGUCUCCUGAGUUCAAGCGAUUCUCCUGCCUCAGCCUCCCAAGUAACUGGGAUCACAGGCGCACGCCACCACGCCCGGUUAAUUUCUGUAUUUUUCAGUAGAGAUGGGUUUUCACCAUGUUGGCCAGGCUGGUCUUGAACUCCUGGCCUCAAGCGAUCUGCCCACCUCGGCCUCCCAAAGUGCUGGGAUUACAGGCGUAAGCCACUGUGCCCGGCCAUAACAUUUUAAACGUCAUAGAAGUCAUAAUGGGAAUGAUAAAAAAGAAAAAAGGGAUAUAUUUGGAUUAAGAUAUAAAUAAAAACUUCAUAGUUAUCGAACAGGAGGCAAAAAUAAAAGAUUGUUGUGAGUUUUAAAGCUUCGGUGAUAUAGAGAAAGCUAUUUUCAGUGAUGGCUAUAGGGUGGUCAGUAAGAGGAUUGUUCACAUAAAGUCUAGGAGACUUCCUUUUGACUGAAAAAAAAAAAGAUCCUGAUGAUUUUUAUGGGAAGAUAGAAAGGCACUCCCUAUGUCUUUUGAUUUUCUCGUGUAUUCUUUCCAAAACUAUUGAAGAAUACCAACCUACAAUUAGUAAUAGCAAAAUGGCUGGCACUUAAAUAUAUAAUAAUGAACAAGACUUGUAAUAUUCACAGGAAAGAAAGAACAUGUAAAAAUAUCAUAGGGACUAAUUUCCUAAUAGGGGAAACUGGGUGUGA
rnacentral:lncRNA from 1 species